rnacentral:rRNA from 1 species
GACGAACGCUGGCGGCGUGCUUAACACAUGCCAGUCGAACGCUGAAGACCUGGCUUUUGUUGGGUUGGAUGAGUGGCGAACGGGUGAGUAACACGUGAGUAACCUGCCCUCUUCUUUGGGAUAACGCCCGGAAACGGGUGCUAAUACUGGAUAUUCACUGAUCUUCGCAUGGGGGUUGGUGGAAAGGUUUGUUCUGGUGGGGGAUGGGCUCGCGGCCUAUCAGCUUGUUGGUGGGGUGAUGGCCUACCAAGGCUUUGACGGGUAGCCGGCCUGAGAGGGUGACCGGUAACAUUGGGACUGAGAUACGGCCCAGACUCCUACGGGAGGCAGCAGUGGGGAAUAUUGCACAAUGGGCGAAAGCCUGAUGCAGCGACGCCGCGUGAGGGAUGGAGGCCUUCGGGUUGUAAACCUCUUUCGCUCAUGGUCAAGCCGCAACUGUGGGUUGUGGUGAGGGUAGUGGGUAAAGAAGCGCCGGCUAACUACGUG